rnacentral:lncRNA from 1 species
UUUUGAGACAGGGUCUUGCUCUGUCACCCAGGCUGGAGUGCUGUGGUGCAAUCAUAGCUCGCUGCAGCCCCGAACUCCUGGGCUCAAGUGAGCCUCUUUCUCUGGGCCACUCCCCUGGUCUUCUCCUUGCCACUUUUCAGGACUCAGUAGAAAGGUCACUUCCUCCAGUGCCAGCGUGUCUGUCCCAUCUCACCACUUCCUAUGGGGCUUUUAUCUUCGCUUGGACCUGUGAGUUCCCAGAGGCCAGCUUUGUGUGUCCUGCUCACUGCUGUACCGCCAAGUCCUGGGGUAGCCACUCUGCAAGGCUUCGGAACGUCCAAUCAAUGCAGUAAAUCCUGGAGAGGGGGAAGACACAGCGGUCCCCUUCCAAGGAGCUGGGACUACAGCAUGUGCUGGAGUCGGCUUGUCCCACAUGUUCUGGAGUCGGCUUGCCCCGGUCCUUCAGCGUGUGCUGGAGUCGGCUUGCCCCGGCCCUGCAGUGUUUGCUGGAGUCAGCUUGCCCUGGCUUGCACCAUGAUGGAUCCUGGGAAUGAUGAUAAUGAACGCAAUAGAUACAGCCUCUAUUCUUAGACAUCUUGCAUGUAUCAGGGAAGACAGGCACCAAGGCAUACUUACAACCAAAGCAUUCCACGACCAUGUGAUCCAGGAGAAUUCCAGGGUCAAGAGCCAGGGUAUUGGAAGCCAACCUGUCUACAGGUGACCAACACUGAACUUACUUUGGGAAACACUGUUCUAGGGUAAGAGGUCUCAUGUAUUUUUGGUGGGGAGAUCUUUUCAUGACUGAAAGACUCAAAAGGCCAUUUUUAUCCUCUGCCGUUGCAUAUUCUUCUAGAAGAAUGUUUCUGCUUCUGUGAGAUGCAAAAAAGCAAUGUUCAGAUUUGUAUUACCUUUAUACGCAAAUCAUUUCACAUCAGGAACGAAUGCAGCACUUUCAAAUUGGGAGUCACAAAAGCCUGCUGAAAGGUGUUUGUGGAGUGCAGGGUGGGAAGGUCCUUGUAUUAGUUCAUUUUCACACUGCUGAUAAAGACAUACCCAAGACUGAGUGAUUCAUAAAGACAAAGAGGUUUAACGGACUCAGUUCCACAUGGCUGGGGAGGCCUCACAAUCAUGGCAGAAGGCAAAAGGCACGUCUUACAUGGCAGCAAGCAAGAGAGAAUGAGAACCAAGCAAAAGAGGUUCCCCCUUAUAAAAUCAGACCUCAUGACACUGAUUCACUACCAUGAGAACAGUAUGGGGGGAAACCGCCCCCACGAUUCAAUUAUCUCCCGCCGGGUCCUCCCACAACACGUGAGAACGAUGGGAGCUACAAUUCAAGAUGAGAUUUGGGUGGGGACACAGCCAAAGCAUAUCAGUCCCUGUUGCUGGAAUGCUGGCCGAGAAUCCUGGGUUCAUAUCCCAGAACCACCAAUGAGCUAGUUUCUCCCACAAUAAUCCUAGCCACUUCCUUGUCCAGAUAUUUUAAGAUGAGAAAAAAAGAAGACUGAUUCUUUCAGUGACCAAAAUCCACCUGGGUGUACAGGCUACCAUCUCUCUGGGGGGACUCGGAGGGGUUUUCUAGCUCUUUCCAGCCUCAGAUCCCAUCCCAGGAGUACACAGUAAAACCGGACAUGGAGUAGGAGGAGGAACCCUGAUGAUAUUCAGGAAAACCCCCUCCUGGUGAGCAGACCGUCUUCAAUUCAGUAAACCGAAGACUGAUCUUGUCACAUUCAGAUGUGUAAUUAAUGCCUGCUACAUCGCGAAAAGCAUCUAUACCAGGUAGACAGUAAUUUACUUUCCCAUAAAACUUUAACACUUUUGCUAGAAACACUAUUUUUUUUUUCACAACACAUUGAAAGACUAUUAUCCAGGCAGCCUCUCUUUCGCAGGGACGUAGGGAGGGAAAAUCUUUUAAGGGACUGGCAUUCCAUAUUGGUACUUGAGCGUCUUGGCAGUGGGACGCAUCGCCCUCUCACAGGGGUGACUGCCUGACUAAUGAGGUCGCCCCCAGCAACAUCCACAUUUUAGACUGUAUUGUGUGAGCUGCCCCAAAUUGAGGUGAUCUCCUGUCCAGACCAGGCUGUACUUUGGUUAUUUACUUGCAAUGAGAUAUCAAGAGACUGAAAGUGGUUUAAAA